GACGUAGGGGGCCAGCGUUGUUCGGAAUUACUGGGUGUAAAGGGUUCGUAGGCGGUGUGGCAAGUCGGGAGUGAAAUCUCUGGGCUCAACCCAGAGUCUGCUUCCGAAACUGCUGUGCUUGAGUGUGGGAGAGGCGCGUGGAAUUGCAGGUGUAGCGGUGAAAUGCGUAGAUAUCUGCAGGAACACCCGUGGCGAAAGCGGCUUCCUGGACCAGCACCGACGUUCAGGCACGAAAGCGUGGGGAGCAAACAGG
rnacentral:rRNA from 1 species